CCUUCUCUCUCUCUCUCUCUCUCUCCUCUCUCCCUGUCCGAGAGAGAGAGAGAGAGAGAGAGAGAGAGAGAGAGAGAGAGAU
rnacentral:miRNA from 1 species